rnacentral:rRNA from 1 species
CAUGCUUAACGGAGUUUUUUAAAGUAUGUUUUUGUACCGAAAGGUUUUGAUCUUAGAUUUAGUUGUUUAGAAGUGUUGUUUGGUCUGGGUAAGGUCUUGUAAACUAAAUUUAUGUGGUGAUAAGUGAGUCGUAAAGCUUUAUAACUGUUUGGUUGUUUAGAAUUUAGUGGGAUGUAGGUGGCUAUUAGGUCAUUUAUAUUUUUAUACAUUUGGUGAUGUGUGGUUUUUGAUAAGGUUAGAGGUACCUAGUUUUUGUUAUAUUGUUGUAAAUAUGGUUUUGUUGGUUUAUUGGUAUGUUAAUUGUUUGAACAACUGUUUUGUUAUAUUUGGUUAUUAUAUUAUCGUUGAAUAAGUAAUUUUAUUAUGCUAUUUAUUUCUUGAGUUCUUUCCGUCUGUUUAUUAAAAACAUUUCUAAUUUUAAUUGUAGUUAGUAGUGCCUGCCCAAUGUUGGUUAAUUAAUGGCCGCAGUAUAUUGACUGUGCAAAGGUAGCAUAAUUAAUUGCCUUUUAAUUGGAGGCUUGUUUGAAUGGUUUGACGUGAUUGGUAUGAAUAUUUGGUAUUUGGUUGAAAUUGAUUUUGAGGGUUUAGAAUCCUUAAUGUUUAAU